rnacentral:lncRNA from 1 species
CUCCUUUUGUGAUUUGCUGCUGGUUUCUAAAUCUCCAAGCAACGUGUGCCCAGCCAACCGGCCAUCGGGUUGUGGCAUGCAGCUGAAUCUGAAGUGCCAAAUAUCACGGCCAUUGAUUAUACCCUCAUCCAUUCCAAAUACCAAAGAAUGACUCUUGAAAUGCUUUGAAACUUACCUUAAUCCACCACACGGCAAGCUGGGACAGGCCUAGGAUGACCUCCUGGUGUGUUCCCUCAAAGAAUGCCUUGACAUUAAUGGUGGAUGGGGUUACAAAGCAUCCUACGAAUGAAUGCCUAGAGGGUCCGGUGAAUAGAUCCACAGUCCGAUUCCCUCCGAGAUCCUAAGUAGGAUGACAUUAGUCACCAGGGUUCUCAGAACUCAUCUGAAGAAAAUCUUUGGCCUUCUCCGAAGAUCAAGCCAAAGUCUCCGAACUAACUGAACCCAGGUCGAUGCCAC